GUUGAAAUGUGGUGCAGGCCCAGUGACGGCCUGGCUGAGCUCAUGAGAGCUCUUGAGCUAGAAUGGUCUUGCUAGAGUUGAGCCAGAUGGCAAGGUCUUCUUACUCCAAAGCUAUUAGUCACUAGAUAUGGGCUGCCCAGGAGGGGCUUGAUCAUGAGCAAGGCAGCUUGCCUGAAGGGAUGGCAGCUGAAGGCUGUCUGUUGACAGACUUCCAGCAGCUGGGACAACAAGCUCUUAUUUCAGGGAGGUCUGGGUGGUGUAUCUCAGUGUCCCACACAUGAACAUUACUUUGGAAUGAGUGUUUCCACAGCACAGGAGCCCAGCAUGAGGGAUGUACAGGAAAAUCUGCAGGCCUGGGUGUCAGCCCUGAGUCAGGACUCUGACUCUGUUGCUUCUUAGCUGUGGGACCAUGGUUGCAUGAUCAAGCUGACUUGAGGGUUCUGAACAGAAGCUGACCAGUCUACUGCACAUUGUAAAGAAGUUAAAAAGCUGGAUUGAAUUGCAAAAUGUACUACUCAAGGAGUCCAAAGAAUAAAAUAUGAGCAGCUUGUGGGGGUAAAGCAUUCGUAGGUAUAGUAUAGAAAAGGUCCAUGAGCAUCAUGUCAGUGUCUUUUAACUUUCCAUUGCAGUGGAAUAAUCCUUUAUGCGUUUAUGAAAAUCUUUGGAAAAGAAGCCACGUCACUGGGUGGUUCCUACUUAUUUUCCUCUCCAGGGGCCUUUGCUGCUCUUGCUGGGUGCCUCAGUUGCUAGCUUUGUGAGUAGUAAUGCCCCACUGUUCCCAGCUCCUUGCUUGCUGGGUGUGAGGACAGAGGCUAUCAUAGCAAUAAUUGCUGGAUGUUCUGUGUUUGCACAUCUGUGGUGGCCUUCUGAAUUGAGUUUCGUGCCAGAGCCAGGCAGCGCCUCCCUACCCCACCCUCCCACUGCCCCUUUAUUUUCUGUGUCACACCAUUAAAAGAAAUGAGAUUAUGGCACAAAUCAUCAUUCAUAUGACUCUAGCAUAGAAGGUUAGCGAGAUAUUGCAGAGAUAAUUCCAUAGCCACCAUGGCCCCUGACAAUAAUUACAAUGUGGCCACAGGGGAUUACCUUCUAAUAGGCUUUUGUUCACUCAAUUCAGAGUCUGUUGUGUGCUAGAGUUUGGAUAAUUAAAGUUGUGUCUCAGAAGCCA